ACGCUGGCAGCGUGCAUAACACAUGCAAGUCGAACGGUAGUAUUAUCUUCGGAUAAUAUGAGAGUGGCGAACGGGUGAGUAACACGUAAGAAUCUACCUUUAGGACGGGGAUAACUUCUGGAAACGGAUGCUAAUACCCGAUAUGCUGUGGAGUGAAAUGAAUUUCGCCUAAAGAUGAUCUUGCGUCUGAUUAGCUAGAUAGGGUGGUAAUGGCGCCCUAUGGCGACGAUCAGUAGCUGGUCUGAGAGGAUGGACAGCCACAUUGGGACUGAGACACGGCCCAAACUCCUACGGGAGGCAGCAGUGGGGAAUUUUCCGCAAUGGGCGAAAGCCUGACGGAGCGACGCUGCGUGAAGGAUGACGGCCUGAGGGUUGUAAACUUCUUUUCUCGAAGAAGAAUCAAUGACGGUAUUCGAGGAAUAAGCAUCGGCUAACUCUGUGCCAGCAGCCGCGGUAAGACAGAGGAUGCAAGUGUUAUUCGGAUUGAUUGGGCGUAAAGCGUCUGUAGGCGGUUUAGAAAGUCUUUUGUGAAAUACUUCAGCUCAACUGGGGCUCCGCAAAAGAAACUUCUAGACUUGAGGGAAGUAGAGGUACAGGGAAUUUCCGGUGGAGCGGUGAAAUGCGUAGAUAUCGGAAGGAACACCAAUAUGGCGAAGGCACUGUACUGGGCUUUUCCUGACGCUCAGAGACGAAAGCUGAAGGAGUGAUUAGGAUUAGAUACCCUAGUAAUUUCAGCCGUAAACGAUGAAAACUCACUGUCGAGCCAAUAUAUGGAGCGGUGGUCAAGCUAACGCGUGAAGUUUUCCGCCUGGGGAUUACGCAUGCAAAUGUGAAACUCAAAGGAAUUGACGGGGACCCGCACAAGCGGUGGAGUAUGUGGUUUAAUUCGAUGCAACGCGAAAAACCUUACCAGGGUUUGAAAUAAUUUCAAAACUUCUUGAAAGAGAAGCCUCCUUCGGGAUGGAAUUACAGGUGGUGCAUGGCUGUCGUCAGCUCGUGUUGUGAAAUGUCAA
rnacentral:rRNA from 1 species